AAGAAUUUUUCAAAUCAUCCACAUUAUUAGUAGUGUACUGACAUGACGGAUUAUUGUAGAAUUGAAUCCAGACAUUGUCAAAUAGCCCUGUAUUUAGUGCCGUGCCAAGCAAUCUAUCUGGAAAUGGACAUUGUGGAGCUGCUGUAAGGUACAUUUUUCUUCCAAGUUUGCUAUAUCUUUUUAAGUAUUGCGCUAAAUCUUCAUAGUAAAGAGAAGAUCCUAGUUCAAUAUCGAAAUCAAUUCCGUCAAGUCUCGCAUUUCCUAAAGGCCUAAACGACGAACGUCCGCCUAAAAAAUUGUUAUAUAAAUAACGUGCAACGUCCUUAGCGUCUUUUUUAGAAGCUAAUGAGUAGUUUCCAACGCCACCGCCCAUGGAUAGCAUAACUUUGACGCCUAAUUUUUGACAGAAUUUGAUUUGUGGGCCGAGGAUAGUGCAGCCAUUGACGGCGGGGUUACAGUGGCCAGCGAGAUUGAUUUCAGGGGUUUGGCCAUUACCGAAUUUGUUAAGGAAGGAUAAGUUGACAUAGGCGUAGUUGCCUGAGGCACAUGUGUCGUUUAAGGUAGCUUCAUUGCCGUUUUGGCCCCAGUAAAUUGCGAUGCCUGAUCUAGCAAUUGAGGUUUGAAUAAGAGCUAAGAAUAAAAUAGAGGGAAGGAGGAGAUUGAUGGUCAUUUUGGAUGGAAUAUAGCAGUGGAAUUAUUGGGAUUUGGGGUUAUGAUGUUGAUGCAGAUUAAAAGAGAUUGCUUUUUAUAGGAUUUUGGAGGGGGAAAAGUGACAUUUUCUUUCAAUAAAAUCGUACCACUCUCUUGCAUUACGUGGAUUCUUUGAUUAUUUUCAAUCGAAGACAGCUCAAGAAUGAGAUUAUAGAAGGAAGAAGUCAAACAUUGGAGGGACAUUUUUGGUCAUUUCAUCUUCAGAAAUUACACUUUUUGGAGUCGAAUAUAUAUGAAAGUAGUCUCUCCCCUACAAAGGCACGGGUAAAGUUUCUGUACAUUUCAUCUUUCAUAAACUAAUAAAAUUACACCGAGUAUAUUUAUUGUUAUUGUCAUCCCUAGAGUAGAGGCGGAGCCAACUUUCUUUAGGGUGUUCGGCCGAACCCCUAACACUCUUGAUGAAAAAAUAUACUAUUUAUCUAUGAUUAAAAUUAUUUUUUAUAUGAUUAUAGUAGAUGUUGAACCCCCUUCGACUAAGUUUUCUUUUAAUAUUGAAACCCUUUAGUUGAAAUCCUAGCUCCCGCCUCAGCCCUAGAAUAGCCACUUUCUCUCGGUGGACUUUUGUCUAUUUUCUUUAACCUUUGGUAAUAUUUAGGAGAAAAAUGGGGUUGAAAAGAUUAUCACUUAAUUGACAUGAGAAAAUGGAAUAAUCGAGAAUCUCGAGUAACUGGCCAAGCCGCCAAAGUCGCUAAGGUAGUGAUAAAUCCUGUUAAUAAAAUGGGUCCUAUAGAAAGUCCAUCUAUUCCUAAUUUUCAAUGGAAAUCAAAAAAAUCGAUCCAUUUAUAAUCCUCCACUAGUUGUAUUAAUGGAUCAUCCGAUUGGAAAUGAUAACAAAAUGCAUAAUACAUAGGCUAAGUCAACGCCUAGGAAGUAAUUCAAAUAGAAUCCAUUUGUCCGGAGGAAAAGCUAUAUUCAGUAAUAUGGAUUUCUCAAGGUAAAAUUGCUAGUCCUAUAUUAAAUUUAGCUUUAGCAUUUGUCUCUUUCUUUCUUAUGAUUAUCACUUAAUUGGGGCUAAGUCAACGCCUAGGAAGUAAUUCAAAUAGAAUCCAUUUGUCCGGAGGAAAAGCCAUAUUUAGUAAUUGGCUGGUGGGAGGUUGCAGGUAUCACAUAAAAUUAAUUGAAAAAUAUAUAAUUUGGUCCGAGCAAUACGAUUAUAAAUAGAAUAAAAAGAGCCAAAAUCAAUAAAAUGGAUGCAUAUUGUUAUGCAUACCGGUUCACACUUAUGCCGGUUUGUUUGACAUUUCCAUCAAUUUUAACCGGUCAAAUACACAAUUGUCCCACAUGCAACCUCACAAAUGCAAGAGGAGCCUCACCUAGUCGCGGUUCAAGAAGCAAAUUAACCCAGAGGUAGAGACAUGAUGGGACUAGGGAGAAAAGGGGAUUUAAGAAAUGCUACAACUGUUAGUCAAACUUAUGAUCUACAAUAAUUUUUUAGCCCUCUGUAUUAAUAUUCUAGAAGUGUUCUUUGUGUUAAUAGAAUCAACAAGCAAUAAAUAUAUACAUAAAGAAUAGUUCCACAGUUUCACUUAUGUACGUGUAAUUUUCUAACGAAUGAGAUGCAAUUAAUCAUCCCAUGGACAAUGUGUCUCCAUUACUGCAUUGCCUCAAGUCAAUAUAAAUCAUAAGGGGUUCCGGUUGCGUCCCAGCCCGGCAGACGCAAGGACAAAUUGCUUCCAUCGCAGAGGACCGGUGUCGUUUCGCGGAACCUCUUUCUAUUUUUAACCGUUUAAACAUUGAGCUUCGAAGAGCUUCAAUUCUACUGCUUUAUAAUUUUUCCUUAUUAUUCUUUUUAAGGGAAACAAAUUAAAAAGCAUGAUUGGAUAAAUAACUAUAUCCCUAAAUAAGAAGUUGAUGAGUGUGGAACAAGGAAAGACGUGCUGCUGAUAAUGCGCCAUAUGGCUAGCUGCUAUACUUUCAACUACUUAAUUAUUGAGUUGACCGAAGAACACAUUUUGUGUAAAAAUACGUUCAAAGGUGUACCUUAUCUCUUUGUUUUCUUUGCAGUAUCUCUUUGUUUUCUUUGCAGUCUGCACUAACUUAUCAAGAGGCCUUACAUAUAAUUUUCAGAACUCACAACGUUUAAAUUUGAAUCUCAUUGUCUCCUGCAGAAACCAAUACACUAUACUGCCUCUCAGAAAUUAUAGUAACCUUACGUUGAACAAAAUGGAUUCCCAGAUCUCGGAUCAUUCUUGCUGUUAGCACAAAAGGUGCACUAUUUGUAGGUUAUUUGAGAAUAUAAUUUCCAUUUUCCACCAUUAACAUCUUUGAAAGUUGACAAUAAAAUUCCCAAUAUUAACACCACUAUCAAUUGCAAGUGCACAGGUUCUGCAUUCGAGGAUAAGCCAAUCUCUUGUGAAAAAAGUGGUCUUGGGGGAUCUUAUAGCUCAGUUGGUUGACUAUCUAAACUAUCAUCUUGUUGGUGAGGUUUCGAUUUCCCACUUUGAUCCUCUCCCCCAAUGUAAUAAUUUUUCUU
rnacentral:lncRNA from 1 species